AUCCAGCUGGUGAGUCCCAAAUAGGACGAAACGCGCAUCCUGGAU
rnacentral:hammerhead_ribozyme from 1 species